rnacentral:misc_RNA from 1 species
GAUGAAGAACGUAGCGAAUUGCGAUAAGUAAUGUGAAUUGCAGAAUUCAGUGAAUCAUCGAAUCUUUGAACGCACCUUGCACCCCUUGGUAUUCCGAGGGGUACGCCCGUUUGAGCAUCAUUGUAAUCUCACACCCAAAGGUUUUAUUACCGGAGGGAGGUGGACUUGGAUGUUGCGGCGUUGAUGCCGCUCAUCUCAAAUGUGUUUGCGUAUCGUUUUGUAAUGCGUAGUCGGUGAUAAGUAUCUUCACCGCAGUCGAAAGGCGCGUCAUACGAAUCGCUCUGCGCUCUCUAAUGGUCCCUUUGGGACAACGGCACGUCCGCUCUUGACUAUUUGGCCUCAAAUCGGGUGGGAUUACCCGCUGAACUUAAGCAUAUCAAUAAGCGGAGGA